rnacentral:tRNA from 2 species
GUGCGACGCACAGGAGUUUGGCAACCUGGGCUGCGCCUUGGCCCCGUGCAUAUCUGCCUACCCCAUGUAUAGGAUGCUAGGGGGGGCGAGUGUUCGAAUCACUCCGUCCCCACCA